GGACCCCAUGGUGGGUGAGUCCAUGUGGGGUGUGUUCCUCUCCCACCCCAUCCUAUACUCACCCUGUGGAUCUUUGCAUCUGGAUCCUUCCUAACUAACCUGUAAGGAUGAAUGCUUCCCUGAGUUCUGUGAACAACUCCUGCAGAGUGAUUGAACUUGAGUUAGCCUGCUGGAGAUAGACUCAGGGGUUGGACGCAAAAAUGUGGUGCACAUCUAUAAAGAAGAGAGAAGCCAAGAUUCAGGAAAGCGAGAGGCCAUUGUACCACACUGUGACACUGAAAUUUUUGUUGCUCCUGCAGAGAGUUUGGGAGCUGGAAUGCUGCUGG